GACGAACGCUGGCGGCGUGCCUAAUACAUGCAAGUAGACCUGACUUGCGAACGGGUGAGUAACACGUAGGUAACUGCCUAGUAGCGGGGGAUAACGAUUGGAAACGAUAGCUCAUACACCAUCCUGAGAGAUGGACCUGUGGUGGAUGAGCUAGUUGGUGAGGUAAAGGCUCACCAAGGCGACGAUACAUAGCCGGCCUUAGAGGGGUAUCGGCCACACUUGGACUGAGACACGGCCCAGACGCCUACGGGAGGCAGCAGUAGGGAAUCUUCGGCAAUGGACGGAAGUCUGACCGAGCAACGCCGCGUGAGUGAAGAAGGUUUUAGGAUCGUAAAGCUCUGUUGGUAGAGAAGCGGUACCUAACCAGAAAGGAACGGCUAACUACGUGCCAGCAGCCGCGGUAAUAC
rnacentral:rRNA from 1 species